CCUACGGGUGGCAGCAGUGGGGGAUAUUGGGCAAUGGGCGCAAGCCUGAUCCAGCAACGCCGCGUGAAGGAAGAAGGCUUUCGGGUUGUAAACCUCUUUUGUCAGGGACGAAAGAAGUGACGGUACCUGACGAAGAAGCCACGGCUAACUACGUGCCAGCAGCCGCGGUAAUACGUAGGGGGCAAGCGUUAUCCGGAUUUACUGGGUGUAAAGGGCGUGUAGGCGGGACUGCAAGUCAGAUGUGAAAGCCGCGGGCUCAACCUGUGGCCUGCAUUUGAAACUGUGGUACUUGAGUGCUGGAGAGGCAGGCGGAAUUCCUAGUGUAGCGGUGAAAUGCGUAGAUAUUAGGAGGAACACCAGUGGCGAAGGCGGUCUGCUGGACAGCAACUGACGCUGAGGCGCGAAAGCGUGGGGAGCAAACAGGAUUAGAUACCCUAGUAGUC
rnacentral:rRNA from 1 species